rnacentral:rRNA from 1 species
AGAGUUUGAUCCUGGCUCAGGAUGAACGCUAGCGGCAGGCUUAACACAUGCAAGUCGAGGGGUAAGGUUCUGCUUGCAGAACACACGACCGGCGCACGGGUGAGUAUCGCGUUUGUAACCUACCUAUAGCUGGGGCAUAGCUUCCGGAAACGGAAAUUAAUACCCCAUAAUAUCAUAGAUUCGCAUGUUUUUAUGAUUAAAGUUCCGACGGCUAUAGAUGGGCAUGCGUGACAUUAGGUAGUUGGUAAGGUAACGGCUUACCAAGCCUACGAUGUCUAGGGGGUCUGAGAGGAUGAUCCCCCACACUGGUACUGAGACACGGACCAGACUCCUACGGGAGGCAGCAGUGAGGAAUAUUGGUCAAUGGGCGCAAGCCUGAACCAGCCAUGCCGCGUGCAGGAUGAAUGCCCUAUGGGUUGUAAACUGCUUUUUCUGCAAGAAGAAAUCCACCGACGUGUCGGAGGUUGACGGUAUUGCAGGAAUAAGCAUCGGCUAACUCCGUGCCAGCAGCCGCGGUAAUACGGAGGAUGCAAGCGUUAUCCGGAUUUAUUGGGUUUAAAGGGUGCGUAGGCGGGACAAUAAGUCAGUGGUGAAAUCCUAUAGCUUAACUAUAGAACUGCCAUUGAUACUGUUGUUCUUGAGUCCAGUUGAGGUGGGCGGAAUGUAUAAUGUAGCGGUGAAAUGCUUAGAUAUUUUACAGAACGCCAAUUGCGAAGGCAGCUCACUAAACUGGUACUGACGCUGAGGCACGAAAGCGUGGGGAGCGAACAGGAUUAGAUACCCUGGUAGUCCACGCCGUAAACGAUGAUCACUCGUUGUUGGCAAUACAUCGUCAGCGACUGAGCAAAAGCAUUAAGUGAUCCACCUGGGGAGUACGGUCGCAAGAUUGAAACUCAAAGGAAUUGACGGGGGCCCGCACAAGCGGUGGAACAUGUGGUUUAAUUCGAUGAUACGCGAGGAACCUUACCUGGGCUUAAAUGCAGAGUGACCUUCCGGGAAACCGGAAUUUCCUUCGGGACAAUUUGCAAGGUGCUGCAUGGCUGUCGUCAGCUCGUGCCGUGAGGUGUCGGGUUAAGUCCCAUAACGAGCGCAACCCCUAUCGUUAGUUGCCAGCGGAUAAUGCCGGGGACUCUAACGAAACUGCCGGUGUAAACCGAGAGGAAGGUGGGGAUGACGUCAAGUCAGCACGGCCCUUACGUCCAGGGCUACACACGUGUUACAAUGGCCAGUACAAAGGGCAGCUACCAGGUGACUGGAUGCUAAUCUCUAAAGCUGGUCUCAGUUCGGAUUGAAGUCUGCAACUCGACUUCAUGAAGGUGGAAUCGCUAGUAAUCGCGUAUCAGCAACGACGCGGUGAAUACGUUCCCGGGCCUUGUACACACCGCCCGUCAAGCCAUGGAAGCUGGGGGUACCUAAAGUCCGUAACCGCAAGGAGCGGCCUAGGGUAAAACUAGUGACUGGGGCUAAGUCGUAACAAGGUA